CUCAGUUCAUAGACAGACAGACCCGCCCCAUUCAGUACAAAGUAGACCCUUGUACACAUGUGCUGGGCCUGGGCAACUGAAUCCAUAGAUGAAGAAGUUCUGAAGCGACAGGUGGUGAUUGAUCGCUUUUCAUCCUUGGUCAAAUCCUGCGCUGGAGAAGAAAUAGGUUGAACACGCACGUGUCGGCGUUAUGUCUCGGGGUGGCUCAUUCCAGCUCAUGCAGACUUUAAGGAAAUCUCCAGCUGUUUUCCGCUGCCGUUUCCGGCAGGACCGCACCCAGACCCUCUCACACGGCGACCCGCUUUUCAAAGUGCACUACCUUGGUACAGAAAAGAUCUAUUCCCUGGAUGUAGAACAAGCUGAGGAGGCCAUAGGUCGGUUACUUGAGAAAUCACCAGACAUGGCCACCCUAGGCAAACUUGGCAAGGAGCACGCUCUCGUUGUCCGACCUCACUAUGUAGAGGUGAAGGAGAUCAGCACGGGCAGACAGCUCACUAAGACCUAUCUAAAAGACAUUGCAUAUUGUGCAGCUGAUGCAAGCAGACCAAAUCUUUUCCUCUAUAUCUUUAAGCAGCAAGGCCAGCAGCUGCAGUGCAGAGUGUUCUGGUGUAACAGACCUGACCGGGCAAAAGAUAUGACCGCAUGCUUAGCUAGAUCUUUUCAGAAGGCUCUGAAUGAAUUACAAGAGGAGACCAGUCACGCUAAAGGAGAAGAUAGUGAGAAGGAUGGAAAGCCAAUUGCAGCAAUGGGACAUAGCAAAAACUCAACACUAACAGCAGACUUGAGAGAAGGGCGGUGGCGGAGAAAGCAUUUGAGAGAGUUGAUGAGGAGAACCAGUAUCAGACAUGUCACUGACAUAUGAGACAGUGUUAUAUGGGAGUGUUACAAGUUCUUAAAUGCAGUCAGGGGAUUUCUUGUACCUAGAAUCUGUUGCAUUAGGAAAGUGGCAAACAUUGCAACAUGAGCUUUCAAAUAAAGCCAGCUUUACUCUUGUUGCCCAAUAGACCAUGCAGUUUCUAGUUAAAAUGUAUUUGCUCAAAAUAUUUUUCUACUAGGUCUUCUAGCACACAGAACAUUUUGUUUACACAUUUUUUUUUUUUUUUUUUUGAAAGAAUUAUUCAUCUUUAUGCUUGUAAUUGACUGCUUUUCCUAAAAUUAAACCAGUUUCACUGGG